GCGGGAGUAAUUCAGCGGUAGAAUGCCAGCUUCCCAAGCUGGACGUCGCGGGUUCGAUCCCCGUCUCCCGCUCAA
rnacentral:tRNA from 1 species